rnacentral:lncRNA from 1 species
UUGGAUAUGCACAUGCUGGUAUAAUAAGGGGAGAGAAAAAAGUUUUCGUCGCCACCUAAGUAACCACUGAGAAGCCAUUAUUGCUGGUUUUCCUGCCUUUUACUUUUCUAUCUUCUUGUCACGAUAUGGUAUUCACUGGGUUUCUUUCCUGCAGGAAAUGAAUUGGAUUUGCAAGUGUAGCUUUAACAACUAUAAUAAAGAUAUAUCACAGACUUUUGGCAGGGCCUAUAACAGUGAUUGGGUUGCCACUGUACUAUUCAUUUGUCCCCAGUUAACGAGGAUGUUUACCUGUUUUUUACCAAGCAUGCGUCCUGUCUCAGAUCUCUAAUCUUGCUGAGGUAAAUAUUGUAAGUUGUAACCUUAAGAAUCUUGCUACCAGGGGUGAGUGAGUAGUACAUACAUGUCUCAGUUUCUUUUGUCAAAAGGCAUACACCUCCAUGAUCCAUGAUCCAUGAUCAGAUCAACUCUGUG